rnacentral:misc_RNA from 1 species
UGGUUCUGGCAUCGAUGAAGAACGCAGCGAAAUGCGAUAAGUAAUGUGAAUUGCAGAAUUCAGUGAAUCAUCGAAUCUUUGAACGCACAUUGCGCCCUUUGGUAUUCCGAGGGGCACGCCUGUUCGAGCGUCAUUUAAACCAUCAAGCACCGCUUGGUCUUGGGUGAGGUCGAGCGACCCGCCCGCAACCCGUUGGCGGCACCGUCCAGCUUCAAGCGUAGCAGAAUUUUCGCUUCAGGAGCUCGCGGCGGCGUCUGCCUGAUAAUUACACCCAAAGUUUGACCUCGGAUCAGGUGGGGAUACCCGCUGA